rnacentral:rRNA from 1 species
GAGUUUGAACCUGGCUCAGGAUGAACGCUGGCGGCGUGCCUAAUACAUGCAAGUCGAGCGAACCACUUCGGUGGUGAGCGGCGAACGGGUGAGUAACACGUAGGUGAUCUGCCCAUCAGACGGGGACAACGAUUGGAAACGAUCGCUAAUACCGGAUAGGACGAAAGUUUAAAGGUGCUUCUGGCACCGCUGAUGGAUGAGCCUGCGGCGCAUUAGCUAGCUGGUAGGGUAAAGGCCUACCAAGGCGACGAUGCGUAGCCGACCUGAGAGGGUGAACGGCCACACUGGGACUGAGACACGGCCCAGACUCCUACGGGAGGCAGCAGUAGGGAAUCUUCGGCAAUGGGCGAAAGCCUGACCGAGCAACGCUGCGUGAAUGAUGAAGGCCUUCGGGUUGUAAAAUUCUGUUAUAAGGGAAGAACGACUUUAGUAGGAAAUGGCUAGAGUGUGACGGUACCUUAUGAGAAAGCCACGGCUAACUACGUGCCAGCAGCCGCGGUAAUACGUAGGUGGCGAGCGUUAUCCGGAAUUAUUGGGCGUAAAGAGCGCGCAGGUGGUUGAUUAAGUCUGAUGUGAAAGCCCACGGCUUAACCGUGGAGGGUCAUUGGAAACUGGUCGACUUGAGUGCAGAAGA